UNGUGGCAGAGUGAUGGCUUGUUGCAGCC
rnacentral:piRNA from 1 species